rnacentral:rRNA from 1 species
CACAGGUGCUGCAUGGCUGUCGUCAGCUCGUGUCGUGAGAUGUUGGGUUAAGUCCCGCAACGAGCGCAACCCUUGUCAUUAGUUGCUACAUUUAGUUGGGCACUCUAAUGAGACUGCCGGUGACAAGCCGGAGGAAGGUGGGGAUGACGUCAAGUCCUCAUGGCCCUUAUAGGUGGGGCUACACACGUCAUACAAUGGCUGGUACAGAGGGUUGCCAACCCGCGAGGGGGAGCUAAUCCCAUAAACCAGUCGUAGUCCGGAUCGCAGUCUGCAACUCGACUGCGUGAAGUCGGAAUCGCUAGUAAUCGCGGAUCAGAAUGUCGCGGUGAAUACGUUCCCGGGUCUU